CAGGACGAACGCUGGCGGCGUGCCUAAUACAUGCAAGUCGAACGGCUUUUCUAUGGAAGCUUGCUUCCACUGAGAAGAUAGUGGCGAACGGGUGAGUAACACGUGGGUAACCUGCCCAUAAGAGGGGGAUAACAUCCGGAAACGGGUGCUAAUACCGCAUAGUUUUCUUGAUCGCAUGAUUGAGAAAGGAAAGACGGCCUUUGUGCUGUCGCUUAUGGAUGGACCCGCGGCGUAUUAGUUAGUUGGUGAGGUAACGGCUCACCAAGACGAUGAUACGUAGCCGACCUGAGAGGGUGAUCGGCCACAUUGGGACUGAGACACGGCCCAAACUCCUACGGGAGGCAGCAGUAGGGAAUCUUCCGCAAUGGACGAAAGUCUGACGGAGCAACGCCGCGUGAGUGAAGAAAGGUUUUCGGAUCGUAAAACUCUGUUGUCAGAGAAGAACAAGUUGGAGAGUAACUGCUCCAGCCUUGACGGUAUCUGACCAGAAAGCCACGGCUAACUACGUGCCAGCAGCCGC
rnacentral:rRNA from 1 species